UCCUUGGGAGGAACGUUUUCCCCCUUUUCUGGUUUACAAGACCAGGGUAAUGUGCGACG
rnacentral:tRNA from 1 species